AUGCUGGCCGUCGCGGCGGGGCAGGCGACGCUGGGGGAGCCGUCCUCGUCGGCGCCGGCCGCCGCCGCCGCCGCGCCCAAGCGCCGGGAUCCCACGCCGGAUCAUCCACCGUAUUCAUGGAUGAUCGAAGAGGCGAUCCAGGCGCUGGGCGAGGACGGCGGCCCGGCGGAGUCCGCCAUCUCGGGCUUCAUCCGCGGCAGGUACCCCGGCGUCCCCGCCGCGCACGACAGGUUCCUCCGCUACUACCUCGCCAAGCACGUCGCCGAGGGCCUCUUCGUCUGCGCCGCGCCUGGGCGGUACUCUUGCUGCUCCGAUGACGAGCCCCAGCCCGAGCUCGCACUCACCGAGGUCCUGGCGGCGGCGGCACAGCCCAAGCGCGCCCGCGGUCGGCCUAGGAAGGAUGACUCGCUGGUGGUGGUCAAGCGUGGGCGCGGUCGGCCUAGGAGGGAUGAUUCGCAGGCCGCUGCGGUGGCGGUGAGUGCUUGGCCUCCGAUGACAGGGGCCAAGCGCGGCCGCGGUCGGCCUCGGAAGGAUGGCUCGGCGCCCAAGCCGGCUUCUGGCAAGAAGUUUGUGAGCGGGUCGCCAUCCGCGAUGCCCAAACGCCGUGGCCGGUCUCGCCUUCUGACGGAUGUAGGGGCGGCCGACGUCUCCGGCGAAGCGCUCGUCACGGACAAGAAAGACAGCACUGAGGCUCCAUCCGCCACUGAUAAGAACCAUGGGGAACCCCGCGGGCUGGCACUUGUGAUCGUCAACGACGGCUCUGGUGCAGCAUUAGUCACGGAGAAAGAUGGCGGUGAAGCUCCUGCAGCCAAGCGGCCGCUCUUGGCCAAGGAACCUGCCGCAUUCAGUACGCCAGAGUGCAGCACCCAGCCCUGCAAACUGCCCCUUGUGGCAGCUGACGAAAACUCUGCUCCGGCCCUAGCCUCCGACAAGGAGGGUGACACUGAAGCUCCAUUUGUGAAGCACAAGCGACGUCGUCGGACCUGCAGAUCAGAGCCGGCAAAAUCCACCUGCGGCUCUCCCUCGACAUCAAUUGCAGACAAGAAGGCCGGUGGCAACGUUGCAUCUGCUCCACCCAAGGGCCGUGGCUGGUUGCGCAAACCGUCAUUGAUGGCUGCCGCCGACGAUGAAAUUACACCCAAUGAGGCUCGAUCAGCACAGGUCAAGCCGCGCCGCAAACCUCGCAAACAGUUUCUGCUGAACUUUUAUGAUGAGGUACCAAAUAGUCCGAAGUUCUGUGUCCUCGCACUGCCUGCCCAGGUGCCGGGGGCAACAAAGGCGCUGUAG
rnacentral:rRNA from 1 species